AGUAGCUCCCGAGCACGCCGGAGGCCUGGCCUGUGGAUGAGAUUGUUCCUUAUUUCCCCAGCUUCAGCACCACAGAAGAGACCAGAGUCUACCUUGCCAGCUCCUCUAGCACCGACCACGUGCCAAUUCAUGUCCUGAAUGCUCACUUCACUUCUUCACCUUGCUUCACUUCACUUACUGCACGGGAACAGAAAAGCCUAGAGAGGAUGGAUUACCUGUGCGGUUGCCUCCCUCUGCAGAGUGGGCGUGUCUCAGGAGCUUCUCUUCUUCUCCAGCCCAGUGCGGCCUCGUGUCAUCCAUAGGACCCACCGGCAGAGGGCAGGGCCUGCGAGUGGGGCCAGCCUCCUGGUGACUCUCGCCUCCUCUUUUCCAGCGGACGCUACCAGAGGACGAAGGUCUGACUCUGGCCAACGGCCCAGAAUUUCUGGCCCAGUUUUGCCUGAGGAAGCCAACUGUGCAGGAGGUCAGGAUCCCGGUAGGGUGAGAGUGGGAAAGUUAACAUUCCCAAGAGACUCCAAGCAACAGGAUUUCCUGACCUGGGACUAUUACCUUUCUCACAUUACAUGGCCAGAUUUACUUCCUGCUAUUAUUAAAAGUACGAAAAAGAUGAAGAUAUGUGUUUAAUGGAAACAAGGGCAAGAGUUUGCCUGACUGGACUUUGAGGAGGCUGUAGGAUCAUGGCGCUAACGGCAUUUGGAGGGCUGGGAAGGGACUCUAGCCCUGGCUUUACCUGCCUUUGUCAUCAGCUGGAGCAAGCAACUCCGCAACCUCGGAGCCUCAGUUUCCUUUUCUGUAAAAGGCGGGGAGGGUGGGUGGUAAGUGCAAUGCUGAAUCAGAACUCAUAGAGCUGCUGGGUGGACAUGUGAAGUAAAAGAGGAGACAGCUUUUGCUCCUGAAGGAUGCCAUUUGCGUUUUCCUCAUCAGUUUGAUCUCCUCCAAUCAUCCAGCACCUCCAUCUGACCUUCUCAGCUGAGAGGUCCUCAGUGUUUCUGUGGCCUCCAGGAGAAAGGUCCCCCUCCCCGGCUGAGGCCAGGCUGAUGGCAGGCUGCACGGCCAGCCUUCCACAGUCACCUGAAGGAUACAGAAAAGGAAGAGCUGGAGGCUUCUAGCAAGCUGCCGAACUGUGUCCUCCAGCUGCGCCCAGCCCCCUGGAGGUAGCGCCGGAGCACGUGGUGGUGGCUAUGUAGGAAGGCCCCUUUCGAGCCGCCCUAUACUGUCUUUGGGAUCUGCUUUUUACUGCCACAGCCUAUGUGCUCCUGAUUCUUCUCUCAAUCCCUGGAUGGAAACCGGCCUCUGAUACUUGGCUCUGCUUCCUUGGAGGAGCUACUUAACCAUUCAGUCCUCUCUGCAGUUAGCUAUUAAGGUUGUCCUGCGAACUGAAGCAGAGAGUCCCCGCAAAGGGUGCAGAGUAGGGCACCCACAGAGGAGCCUCUAAAGCACUUUCCAUGAGGUGGAUGGCUUCUCCUCCCCAAGGGACCCAGGAAGGAAAGGAGAGCUGGUGAGUGGGUGGGCUGGGUGAGCCCAGGGGUCAGCUUCCUCCCUGUGGCCCACAACUAGCCUCUGAAUCCCAGUGUCACACAUGACUCUAAGUUGGUCUUGGGACCAAAUCUCUGACCUCUUUGGCUGCAAGUACGAGAAGCCUUAUGUAGUGCUAAAACAAAAUUUUCACUUCUCCUUUUCGGCCUCUUAGAAUCCAUUGGCUGAGAGGAAAUGAAUUCACUAGUGUCUUGGCAAGAAUUUAUUUCAUUUAUUGCAAUAGCCUCUGUUUACAUUUCAAAACCAUGCAGACAAGUGCGUGUGAGAGAAUAUAUUCUGUCCAUGGAUAAUGCCUGGGACCCUGAUGAAUUAUCUGGCAGGCCCCCUUGCUGGGCACCAGUUUUGUCGCCAUCCAAUAAAGUCUUAAUAUAAACCUGGCUCUCAGGCAUGAGCUAUCUUAACACAUUUUGCCAGGCAUGUAUUAUGAUAAGCCCAUUUUGCAGAUAAGAAAAGAGAGGCACUGAGAGCUAUUGUAACGGCUCAGGACAAAGAGAUAGGAGAGCACAAGUUAGGUCUGGGUGACCCCAAAGCCCAUAUUUCCCCCCAUAUUCUCCUCUGCCCCAUGAGAGAUAAUCUCUGCUAAUCUUGUCUCUGUGGCUGGGGACUGGGAACUCCUCAACAGUGAAGUUGUCAACUACCAGCCACAUGUUAACAUUUCCUGAACAGUCACAAUGCUUUUGUAUCCAUUGCCUCGUUUAAUCCCCUAAGAAUUCAAUUAGUUGCCCUGUUUUACAGAGAAACAGAUCAGUCCUCAGAGAGGUUGAGCAACUUGCCCAAGGUCACAGGUUUAGGAAGAGGCAGGGCAGAGAUCAGAAUCCAAGUCUGCCUGUCCCCAGAUCCCUGCUGGCCUCUUUGCAGUGUGUGGGCUUCCCAAGGUCAGAGAUAAAGAGGGCACACAUAGCUAGCCUGAGCCAUAACAUCCCUCAGUCCUGCUUUUCUUCCCCACUCACAACAUGGUGGGUAUGAAAGAGUAAAAUGAAAACCCUAAUUGUUUGCCCCAGAGCUGGUCCUACACCCGGGAUGACUAAUCAGUCUCCACAUAGAGUACAUUUAGGGUCUCUGGAAUGAAGGAGAAUGUGGACAGAAAAAUGGGGCUUUUAAAAAACCUUGACUGAAAGUAAUUUUUAAUGUGCCAAAUAUUUCGACUCAAUCCAAUACACAGGUUUAUUACACAGAAGGCCAAAAUAUCCUAAACAGGCAUUAUUUUGCAACAAGAAGAAAUCAGAGCAAAUCCAGCCAUCAUUACUCCCAGGAGCUAAGAAUGUAAUUGUCUAAUGUGACUUAUAAUCAGCCAAGGUCUUGUCUUGAUGCUUUAGCCCACCAAAUGGCUUCUCCUGUCUCCAGGGGACAAUAAUCCCUGCGGAAUUCUCCUUAGCACAGAUGGGUUUCUGCACAGAUAACGGGUUUUAUUGCUUGAAAGCAUUUCGCAUUCUGUACUGCUGUUCCCAAGAAAGAGCUGGAACUGUCCUGCUCUGCAUCUGUCUCUUCUUAUUCCAGAUACCUCCAGAGCAGCUCAGAAUCCCUUGGGUUGGGGACAAGUCGAGGCAGAACAUAGAAAGAAGCACUUUGUGCCAGGCAGAGAUUCUCCACCCUUCCUGUUGUGUGAUUCUGAGCACGUCACUCCUCAUUCUCAGCCUUGGCUUCCUCUUCUGGAAAAUGGGAAGAGGAUGGUUCACUCAGAUGCCUUGGGAAUUGAGACUCCUAGCAGAGUGCCUGGCAUACAAUAGAUAUGCCGUAGCCCCUGUUCUUAAUCAACAGCUUGACUGAAGCACGGCCAGGGAGAAGCAUGACUUCGUGCGUGGACUUGGGUGCCCUUGGAUGGUUGCUUGGUCAGCUAAGUGCUCCUUGUUGAGCAUCCCUUUGAUCAAGCCACUUCCCUUCUCAAAAGGGUUCAUUGGUUUCCUGGCUCCCCUGAAUGCAAUCCAGAUUCUUGAACCUGGCCAUCGAGGCCUUCAUUUCCCAAAAUGUCUUUUCAGCCAACUUUUCCACUAUCCAAAGAGCCACUUAAUAAAUAUUUCAAGAAAGAGAAAAUACAAUGCAUCUAGCAUUAUGUGGCUGAAAAUCUUGGCCCUGUUCCUAAGAAGCUCGUAAGCUAAUUGGGAGCAGUAAGAUACCAAAAGAAAAGGAACCUGGCAUUGUUUCCUAACUUAUUUUAUAUUUUAAUUAAGGGACCACCAGCUCAGGCCCAGAGCUCUAGUUCCACUUCUGCCUCACAUUUGGAGGGCCUGCUCCAAUGUGAUACUUGGAGAAUGCCACUUAAGUUAAGCCACAGUCCAGGCACAGUGGUUCACGCCUACAAUCCCG
rnacentral:lncRNA from 1 species